rnacentral:rRNA from 1 species
UACGUAGGUGGCAAGCGUUGUCCGGAAUUAUUGGGCGUAAAGCGCGCGCAGGCGGUCCUUUAAGUCUGAUGUGAAAGCCCACGGCUCAACCGUGGAGGGUCAUUGGAAACUGGGGGACUUGAGUACAGGAGAGAAGAGUGGAAUUCCACGUGUAGCGGUGAAAUGCGUAGAGAUGUGGAGGAACACCAGUGGCGAAGGCGACUCUUUGGUCUGUAACUGACGCUGAGGCGCGAAAGCGUGGGGAGCAAACAGG